rnacentral:rRNA from 1 species
CAGAAACUACAAAGGAAUUGACGGGGCCCGCACAAGCGGUGAAGCAUGUGGUUUAAUUCGAAGCAACGCGAAGAACCUUACCAGGCCUUGACAUGCAGAGAACUUUCCAGAGAUGGAUUGGUGCCUUCGGGAACUCUGACACAGGUGCUGCAUGGCUGUCGUCAGCUCGUGUCGUGGGAUGUUGGGUUAAGUCCCGUAACGAGCGCAACCCUUGUCCUUAGUUACCAGCACGUUAUGGUGGGCACUCUAAGGAGACUGCCGGUGACAACCGGAGGAAGGUGGGGAUGACGUCAAGUCAUCAUGGCCCUUACGGCCUGGGCUACACACGUGCUACAAUGGUCGGUACAAAGGGUUGCCAAGCCGCGAGGUGGAGCUAAUCCCAUAAAACCGAUCGUAGUCCGGAUCGCAGUCUGCAACUCGACUGCGUGAAGUCGGAAUCGCUAGUAAUCGUGAAUCAGAAUGUCACGGUGAAUACGUUCCCGGGCCUU